rnacentral:pre_miRNA from 1 species
CCUCUCAAUGGAGAGUAAAUUGGCAAUUGUCGACAUCUAAUUGCACUUCAUUGUGGGGCUU